rnacentral:rRNA from 2 species
UGCAAGUCGAGCGAUCUCUUCGGAGAGAGCGGCGGACGGGUGAGUAACGCGUGGGUAACCUGCCCUGUACACACGGAUAACAUACCGAAAGGUAUACUAAUACGGGAUAACAUACGAAAGUCGCAUGGCUUUUGUAUCAAAGCUCCGGCGGUACAGGAUGGACCCGCGUCUGAUUAGCUAGUUGGUAAGGUAAUGGCUUACCAAGGCAACGAUCAGUAGCCGACCUGAGAGGGUGAUCGGCCACACUGGAACUGAGACACGGUCCAGACUCCUACGGGAGGCAGCAGUGGGGAAUAUUGCACAAUGGGCGAAAGCCUGAUGCAGCAACGCCGCGUGAGCGAUGAAGGCCUUCGGGUCGUAAAGCUCUGUCCUCAAGGAAGAUAAUGACGGUACUUGAGGAGGAAGCCCCGGCUAACUACGUGCCAGCAGCCGCGGUAAUACGUAGGGGGCUAGCGUUAUCCGGAAUUACUGGGCGUAAAGGGUGCGUAGGUGGUUUUUUAAGUCAGAAGUGAAAGGCUACGGCUCAACCGUAUAAGCUUUUGAAACUAGAGAACUUGAGUGCAGGAGAGGAGAGUAGAAUUCCUAGUGUAGCGGUGAAUGCGUAGAUAUUAGGAAUACCAGUAGCGAAGGCGGCUCUCUGGACUGUACUGACACUGAGGCACCAAAGCGAGGGGAGCAAACAGGAUUAGAUACCCAGGUAGUCCACGCCGUAAACGAUGAGUACUAGGUGUCGGGGGUUACCCCCCUCGGUGCCGCAGCUAACGCAUUAAGUACUCCGCCUGGGAAGUACGCUCGCAAGAGUGAAACUCAAAGGAAUUGACGGGGACCCGCACAAGUAGCGGAGCAUGUGGUUUAAUUCGAAGCAACGCGAAGAACCUUACCUAAGCUUGACAUCCCACUGACCUCUCCCUAAUCGGAGAUUUCCCUUCGGGGACAGUGGUGACAGGUGGUGCAUGGUUGUCGUCAGCUCGUGUCGUGAGAUGUUGGGUUAAGUCCCGCAACGAGCGCAACCCUUGCCUUUAGUUGCCAGCAUUAAGUUGGGCACUCUAGAGGGACUGCCGAGGAUAACUCGGAGGAAGGUGGGGAUGACGUCAAAUCAUCAUGCCCCUUAUGCUUAGGGCUACACACGUGCUACAAUGGGUGGUACAGAGGGUUGCCAAGCCGCGAGGUGGAGCUAAUCCCUUAAAGCCAUUCUCAGUUCGGAUUGUAGGCUGAAACUCGCCUACAUGAAGCUGGAGUUACUAGUAAUCGCAGAUCAGAAUGCUGCGGUGAAUGCGUUCCCGGGUCUUGUACACACCGCCCGUCACACCAUGGAAGUUGGGGGCGCCCGAAGCCGGUAGCUAACCUUUUAGGAAGCGGCCGUCGA